rnacentral:rRNA from 1 species
AACGCGAAGAACCUUACCAAGGUUUGACAUGGCCGGAAAACUCGCAGAGAUGCGGGGUCCUUCGGGGCCGGUCACAGGUGGUGCAUGGCUGUCGUCAGCUCGUGUCGUGAGAUGUUGGGUUAAGUCCCGCAACGAGCGCAACCCUCGUCCCAUGUUGCCAGCGGGUAAUGCCGGGGACUCAUGGGAGACUGCCGGGGUCAACUCGGAGGAAGGUGGGGAUGACGUCAAGUCAUCAUGCCCCUUAUGUCUUGGGCUGCAAACAUGCUACAAUGGCCGGUACAGAGCGCUGCGAGCCCGUGAGGGUGAGCGAAUCGCGGAAAGCCGGUCUCAGUUCGGAUCGGGGUCUGCAACUCGGCCCCGUGAAGCCGGAGUCGCUAGUAAUCGCGGAUCAGCAACGCCGCGGUGAAUACGUUCCCGGGCCUUGUACACACCGCUAGUC